GCGGGCUUAGCUCAGUUGGUAGAGCGCAACCUUGCCAAGGUUGAGGUCGAGAGUUCGAGACUCUUAGCCCGCUCCA
rnacentral:tRNA from 1 species